AGUAAGGGCUGUGUAAGAGAUGGAAAGUGGAGGGGCUUAUGUGCAAAAUGGCCAUAUGAGGGGUUAUUUGAGAGAGACCUUUCUCUCUCUCUCUCUCUGUCUCACACCCUCACACUCUCCCUCACUGUCUCUCUCCCUCUCUCUCUCUGUUCGUAGCAGAGGAAAAAGGAAAGGAAGAGAAGAGAGGAAGGAAAAGAAGAAAAAGAGAAAAGGGAAGGAGAAGAAGAAGAGGAUCAAGGAGAAGACU
rnacentral:lncRNA from 1 species